rnacentral:rRNA from 1 species
UACGAAGGGGGCUAGCGUUGCUCGGAAUCACUGGGCGUAAAGCGCACGUAGGCGGAUUGUUAAGUCAGGAGUGAAAUCCUGGAGCUCAACUCCAGAACUGCCUUUGAUACUGGCGAUCUUGAGUCCGGGAGAGGUGAGUGGAACUGCGAGUGUAGAGGUGAAAUUCGUAGAUAUUCGCAAGAACACCAGUGGCGAAGGCAGCUCACUGGAACGCGCCUGACACUCAGGGACGAAAGCGUGGGGAGCGAAAGGG